rnacentral:lncRNA from 1 species
GAGCUCGGCUCGUUUAUAAACGAACCGAGCUUGAACAUACAAAGCUCAGCUCGUUCGGCUCGCUUAACACCCCUAGUGACAUGGUGAAGGUCCUGAGCAAGGCAGUAGAGCUCAGGGUUUUUCCAUAUAAAAUCAUAUGUGGUAUACAUCAAGGUUUUCCAGCGCCAGAUAUAUCACGUGGUUUUGUCCUGAUUCUUGAACUAGGAUUUCCUGUUCUUCAAAUGGUGUUCUGCAUGUUAUAGAAAGGGAUCACAAAUGCCGGAAGUUAUGUUGGGGUUAAUCGGUUUUGGUUUGCUAUGGGGGUGCAACAGAAAAAGGAGCAAACAAAGUUUUUGAGAGACUGAAACUAGGAGUGAAACUAGGGAGCACAAGAAACUCCAGCCAUAAGGAGCUCUACCGCCCUGGUAUCUGCAUUUGAACUUUGAACUGAGAUGUAAGUAAAAUAUAAUGGUUGUUAUGGAGUGACUAGGGGUCUCGAUUUCAAGAAUAAGGACGAGUUCUAUUACUUUUAGGCCUUGAGAUUCCUGCAUAAGCACAUUAGAAGGCCAAGCUACUUGGCUUGAAAACAGGAGGAGUUCUUCAGAUAACUGAGGAUGUUGGCAUGUCAGGUAUCUGAAGCUUACUGUGCAGAAUAUUAUAUAUAUACAUACCUUCAGUGCGAGCGGGAUUAGGUUUCAUUUUUCCUUUGUUGAUAAUCUGAAUAAAGAAGAAGACGAUAUACUAGAUUACCUAUAAGUGUAUUUUAAUAGGGUUUAGCAUUAUCUAUUUGGUAGAGAUAUUAUCUUAGAAGCCACAUGUAAAUGCCGAUUUGCACUGCAUAUCCAUCUCAAUCCCUUUUGAUUCGUAGUAUUGCAAUUCCAGUUGUUAUUCUUGUAUACCGAAAUAUCUAUUGUAAAUAUAGAUUGCUGAUGCACUAGUAUUGUUUCUGUUUUAACGUACAGUAAAAGUUGAACUCUGUCAUGUCUACUUCUAGUUAAGUUUUGGCAUAGGUCUAUUUUUAGUUCCGUUUUAGCUACCAAAAUGCAGUCUUCAGUUUUGACAUAUGUCCUUGAUAAAUUUAAUUCUGAAGGUUGUUGUUUAGGGUUGAGGUUCUACAAUGCAUCAAUGCAAGAGUUCUACAUGAAGCAACAAUGUGUGGACUAUCCUGAGUUAUGCAGUAAAAGCAAGCUUGUUUGGUCUGUUGAUGUUCACAGGUAUGAUAUUCUUUUAACCACAACACUCCUCCCCCUCCCCCUACCCUUUUCUUUCUUCUCUCUUCCCAAAAAGAAGGAAGAAGAACAAUAAAUGAAGAGUUCAUCUUAGGCUUCAACUACUAUAUGUCAACCCCUGACCUCAGCCUCCAAAUAUAUAACACCGAAGUCUCUAAAAAGCUUGACAUUAUGUUAUUUUUCAGGUCAUGUUCACAGAUAAGGAAGAUCUUCCUCAUUUAGCAGCCAUGGUGGCAGUGUAAGUUGUUCUUCCUUUGUAAUAUUUUAAUCUCGUCACUCCUAGACCAUAGAUUGGUGUAGAUGUCGACUUAGCGAAAGCUUAGUUACACACCUUUUAUUUUUCGUAGUGUCUGACCAUGUGGUAAUUACACUUUGUAUUGGGGAAGAAAGAGAUGGGGAGUGGGGGCAGUAACCACUAACAUGGAGAAGAGAAAUGCGACGAUUCUUAACAUACAUGUCUUUACCAAGGGAUCAUCUUAAUAAGUACUUCAUGUUCUUACCUUUUUUUC